ACCACCAAAGAAAAUUGCUUCUCGAGAAAAAUUUCUUAUAACGGCACUGUUGCUAUCUCGUUUGAUAUCCGGUUCGGUGUUCCCUAUACUAGAAGUUAGCUAUCCAGUUGAGGCUAAACUUCGUGGAAUGAACAAUACUUUAAUCAGCUUGUUGUUUGGUGUUUAUCCACUCAUGAAUGUACUGGCUCCACAAAUGGUAAAAAAAUGGUCUACCAUUUUGAAUUAAAGCAUAUCAUAUAUGUUGCAAUCGGGUCUUCUGCCAUUAACACAGUUAUUUUUGGAUUGCUUGAAUACAUCCCUAAGCAGGGUUCUUAUAAUAUGGUGUUCAUCAUACUAAGUUUCAUUGUGAGAGCUUUCGAAUCUUUGGGUUGUGGUACAAUCAAUACAGCAGUUAUGACAUUUUUCGCCACUGAAUUCCCAGAUGAUGUUAGUUGU